rnacentral:rRNA from 1 species
AUACGGAGGGUGCAAGCGUUACUCGGAAUCACUGGGCGUAAAGCGCGCGCAGGCGGGCUGAUAAGUUGGAUGUGAAAGCCUACGGCUCAACCGUAGAACUGCAUCCAAAACUGUCAGUCUAGAGUGUGGGAGAGGAAGAUGGAAUUAGUUGUAUAGGGGUAAAAUCCGUAGAGAUAACUAGGAAUACCAAAAGCGAAGGCAAUCUUCUGGAACACUACUGACGCUGAGGCGCGAAGGCGUGGGGAGCAAACAGGAUUAGAAACCCCAGUAGUCC